CACACCAAGAACUCAGGCCAAUGUAAGUUUCAAUAGUGGGAAUGGACCACUCCCACUAUUGAAACUUACAUUGGCCUGAGUUCUUGGUGUG
rnacentral:miRNA from 1 species